GUCAGAAUGCUUCUGGGAGUCGGGGGGUGGGUGCCUUUCUGUUGCUAGCUUGUAGGAGAAGCUGGGCUGUAGGAAGUUUAUUUGCGGGGGGGUCUUAAAGACGCUGAAAGUACUGGCGGGCUUUGGUGGGGGUCUGGAAAAACCUCUCUGUACCUGUGACCGCGUUGCGUGGCGGGCGCUCCCCGGCCUCUCCUUUUUGACCGGUCCCGGGCGUUGCCCAGCCGCCAGUCCUCCUGCUCGGGUUUUGUAAGCAGGAGAGGGAUGCUUUUUACGUCUUCUUAAAGUACGGUUAAGUGCCCUUGCUUGAAGUAGUUGCUGGCAACAAGAACGUAGGGGUUACUCUUUGUUGGGCCUGAACUCGUGCUUUUUCUCUCAAAAGUUGAGCUUUUGAAAGGCAAAAAAGGCGUGGGGGAUGGGGGAGCUGUCGGUCUUAAGGAAGUUAAAGGUUAUUUCCUAAACAAAACAAGUCUCACUCCUAAAACCAGGGUAGUGGCUCAGUUGUGGCGGGAGAGCAGGGGCUGUAAAGUGUCCAAGUUUCUAGUCUCAUCUUUCAGUAGGAUGGGUACAAGCUUUCCCCUUGGGGCUCUGGGGGCUGGGAGGGUUGUAAAAGUGGGAGAAAGCAAAGUAUUUGGCGGGGUGCGGGCGGGUAGCUGAAUGUUGUUGUAAGUGGAAGAGGAAUG
rnacentral:lncRNA from 1 species